UGGUUCUGGCAUCGAUGAAGAACGCAGCGAAAUGCGAUAAGUAAUGUGAAUUGCAGAAUUCAGCGAAUCAUCGAAUCUUUGAACGCACAUUGCGCCCGCCAGUAUUCUGACGGGCAUGCCUGUUCGAGCGUCAUUUCAGCCCUCAAGCCCCUGUAGGCUUGGUGUUGGGGUCCCUGUAGGAGACUCUCCUUAGGGCCCUUAAACCCCGUGGCGGACCUGCUAUGUUCUCCAAGCGCAGUAAUGCUCCUCGCUUGGGAGAGGUGGCGGCGUUUAGCCAGGAUUAACCAUCAUACCAUUUUGACCUCGGAUCAGGUAGGAAUACCCGCUGA
rnacentral:misc_RNA from 1 species